ACCCCGAUCCCAAGCACCAUGGAGCCGACGAUUUGGAUCAAGACCUACAUCCCAAGCACCAAGGUGCCUGGUUGAUAUGGUUCGCGAUCCCGAUCCGGAGCUCCAGGGCGCCGAGGAUUUCGAUCACGAUCCCGAUCUGAAGCACCGAGUAGCCGAGGAUAUGGUUAAAGACCCCGGUCCGAAGCGACAAGGAGGCAAGGAUUUGGAUCACCACUCCGAUCAAAGGCACCAAGGCGUCGAGGGAUUGGAUCGAGAUCCCGAUCCCAAUCAUGAAGUUGGCUACGUAAUUUCCUGUUUUCCACACCGUUCAGGGCAUUUUGGUGGUCGUAUCGGCUUUUAGUUGCUUGCUUGGUGUUAGUGCCAAGGGAGUGGUUGGAAGCUAGGUCGUCCUCUGGAAUGCAUGUUGUAAAGGUGUAUGAGUUGUGUUUGGCUUGUUACGGGUGUUUGUUGGCUGCUUGUGCAGGAACUUUCAUGCGUCCAAGCCUCUUCAGUUGUGCUACAAGGCCUUGUUUGUCUUGUGCAUACGGUGGGUUUCCUGUGUUGCAUACCUAAUCAAGGGCAUCGUAUGGCUUGAUCGAAGUAAAAAUUCGUAAUGCGCCGCUUGCGGCGUUGCACGAACCUCGAAGUGGUCUCUGUGGCCCAUGUUGUCUUUGCUCACGUAUGGAUGGCAUGGCCCUCGGAGCGUCGCUUGGUCUCUUGGAUACGGAACCUGAUGAUGUGGGCGGUAGGGUCUUGGAUGAUUCUACCUUCGC
rnacentral:misc_RNA from 1 species